rnacentral:misc_RNA from 1 species
AGGAGGCGGUGGUGGUGGUGGCGGAGGAGGAGGGAAGCCAAUGGUUGGCACGGUCCACGCGUUGGACUCCGGCCUCUUCGCAACAGCACCUCCACCGGCGGCGUAAAUCUGCCGCCGUUGGGUCCAACUCGCUGCCUCCGCCUCUCUCGCAAUCAUGUGUUUUCUGUGUGACCGGUACUUCUGAAGAUGGCUGGCUAUGUUGUGCCGGG